CAUACCAAACGGUAUUUAAAAAAAGUUUUUAUCAGAGGCUAAAUGGUAUAUUAUAUUCAUGAUAUACCAGAAUGCGAGAUAAUCAUUUAAUCACAUUCCUAAGGAGAAAACACACACACCCAGAACUUCAAUGCUGCCCUAAAUAUUUUUGUCUAUCUGUAAAAAAGCAUGUGCUGUUCCACUGUUCUGUAUUCAGACGGGAAACAAUGAGGAUCUUAUGCAUUGGGUGUAAAACGUCGCAGGCAAUCAUACUUUAACAUCAACGCUUCUAAUAUUCUUGCUGAAAAUGUCGAUACCUGUGAAUCUACCUGGAAUUGCGGACCAAUCGGCGAACACAUUCAGUGCCGCUUGAGUCUGCGUGAUAAUCUUGUCUGAUAAUCUUGUCUGAUAAUCUUGUCUGAUAAUCUUGUCUGAUAAUCUUGUCUGAUAAUCUUGUCUGAUAAUCUUGACGGAUUGUUUUGUUUUCUUUUUUUUUUACUUUGACUCCGCAACAGUUUAACAUGCACGUAGAAUGUGAUUGGUAAGGUCCGUACUCAAAGUCUAGAUCUUCAUCAAUAUCAAUACAAUAAAGGAGGGGAGGGGGACGAGAAAGCGGUGUGGAGAAAUGUUGAGGGUUGAUAAGUUUGAAGGCAACUACUAUAUUAAAAACAAACAACAUAAAAACUUGAUUAGAGUGUUCAAUGAAAAAUUUCUUGCCGUUUUUAAGCGGCUCUUGAAAGGUGAAAAAAAAUGCUAUUAGUUUUGUGUCAUCUGUAUGUCCGUUGUUCUUUCCGUGCGUCAAUCUGAGCUAAUCAUAGAGAAAAUGGUGGAGACUGCUCAUUUGAAAGUAAAACUCUUAGUCUAAGUUACAUUCACUAGAAAUAUCUACAAGAUUACAAGUACGUCACGAUGUGUUUUGGUCCACAUAAAAUUGCAGUUAAAAAAACGUGAGGUUUUGUUGUAUAUUUUUUUCUUCAUUAAAACUAAAAUUAAAAUCUACAAUAUGAAAAAAAAGUUUAUAUUUUAAAGACAGUUAAGGUUACAAGUUACACAAUCCGAUUGAAUUUCAUUGACGGGAAGACAGUAACGCAUAGAUUUGAAAAUGAAGGUUUUAUUGAUUGUGCUGGUAGUUGUUUUGAGUCUUGUCUUUUCUAAUGGAAUGCUGGGACUUGACCCAUGCACGACAUGUGUGUAUUUCAACACGACCUGUCCAUUUAACUGCCCACCACGAAACUGUGAUUGUACAAAUCCAGUGGUUGGCUGUGUUGUAAUGUGUUUGAAUGGCUUGGCAAAGUGAACGCCUACUAAAGAGCAAAGAGAUUAAAUAUCUUAAUAGCUAUA